GAUGAACGCUGGCGGCGUGCUUAACACAUGCAAGUCGAACGGUGAAGGCGGAGCUUACUCUGCUGGAUCAGUGGCGAACGGGUGAGUAACACGUGAGCAAUCUGCCCCUGACUCUGGGAUAAGCGCUGGAAACGGCGUCUAAUACUGGAUACGAGCUGCGAAGGCAUCUUCAGCAGCUGGAAAGAACUUCGGUCAGGGAUGAGCUCGCGGCCUAUCAGCUUGUUGGUGAGGUAACGGCUCACCAAGGCGUCGACGGGUAGCCGGCCUGAGAGGGUGACCGGCCACACUGGGACUGAGACACGGCCCAGACUCCUACGGGAGGCAGCAGUGGGGAAUAUUGCACAAUGGGCGAAAGCCUGAUGCAGCAACGCCGCGUGAGGGACGACGGCCUUCGGGUUGUAAACCUCUUUUAGCAGGGAAGAAGCGAAAGUGACGGUACCUGCAGAAAAAGCGCCGGCUAACUACGUG
rnacentral:rRNA from 1 species